rnacentral:lncRNA from 1 species
UAAAAAAAUAGAAUAAUCAGAAAUUAAAAUAAUUUUUAAGUAUAAACAUGAUAAAGGACAAAAUCAUCUUCAAGGUGUUUACCUUUUUAACCAUCAAACAGGAAUUUUAAAUUUUGAAAUAUACUUAAAAUUCCAGUCUGUGUGCAUCAUCAUGAUCAUCAUGUAGAAAUUAGAAAAUAAAGAAAGAUACGUUAAGGCCACAUUUUUGACUCCUUGAAUUCAAAAAAUCAAAAAUUGUAUAGACCACAAAACAACAUUGUUCAGGUGUUGAUAAAACAAGUUUGGUAGUAUUUAUAAUAUAAUUAUAAUAACAAUAUGCAGCAAAAACUAAGAUAUUUUAGGUCUGAAACAUAAAAUGUAUCCUCUUUAUAACCAUAUUUAUGGUUUGUUGUUAAGUCUGUUGCAGGUCUGUUGUUGAUAAUGGUAAAACAAACAUAUUUGUUACCUAUAUUUAUAGAUUCCUAUUAUUAUGGCCAGGAAGGUUGUAUCUGAAAUAAA